AGCGAACGCUGGCGGCAGGCCUAACACAUGCAAGUCGCGCGCCUCGCAAGGGGAGCGGCGGACGGGUGAGUAACGCGUAGGAAUGUGUCCAGAGGUGGGGGACAACCCCGGGAAACUGGGGCUAAUACCGCAUAUGUCCUGAGGGACAAAGCAGUAAUGCGCCUUUGGAGCAGCCUGCGUCCGAUUAGGUAGUUGGUGGGGUAAUGGCCUACCAAGCCUGCGAUCGGUAGCUGGUCUGAGAGGACGAUCAGCCACACUGGGACUGAGACACGGCCCAGACUCCUACGGGAGGCAGCAGUGGGGAAUAUUGGACAAUGGGCGCAAGCCUGAUCCAGCAAUGCCGCGUGGGUGAAGAAGGUCUUCGGGUCGUAAAGCCCUUUCGACAGGGACGAUGAUGACGGUACCUGUAGAAGAAGCCCCGGCUAACUUCGUGCCAGCCGCCGCUGUAACAC
rnacentral:rRNA from 1 species